AAAGGGAGACCUAAUCCAGGUAUAAGACGAAAAAAAAGUAGUCCCUACCAAGAAUCAAUCCCAAAAGGUCGGAACGAGGUAUGAGGCUUUCAAACUAGGUUCUGGGUUCAUAAAAGACCUGAAUCAGGAACAAGGGCUAUUAGCUCAGGUGGUUAGAGCGCACCCCUGAUAAGGGUGAGGUCCCUGGUUCGAGUCCAGGAUGGCCCACCUGCACAGGUGGCAAAAACAAGAGAAGCGAGGAAUCAGCACCUUAUCUUAUAUACAUAUAUAAGAGAGAAUGCUGGCUCUGAGUACAGAGUCCAGAGGAACCUUGAAAACUGCAUAGAGCUAGGUGAAAAAGCCAAAAAAGAAGACCGCAAG
rnacentral:tRNA from 1 species